rnacentral:rRNA from 1 species
UACGUAGGGUGCAAGCGUUGUCCGGAAUUAUUGGGCGUAAAGAGCUCGUAGGCGGCCUGUCGCGUCGGCUGUGAAAACUCAGGGCUCAACCCUGAGCCUGCAGUCGAUACGGGCAGGCUAGAGUCCGGCAGGGGAGACUGGAAUUCCUGGUGUAGCGGUGAAAUGCGCAGAUAUCAGGAGGAACACCGGUGGCGAAGGCGGGUCUCUGGGCAACAACUGACGCUGAGGAGCGAAAGCGUGGGGAGCGAACAGG